GAGCUUGCUUUUGUGGAUUAGUGGCGCACGGGUGAGUAAUACAUAGAUUAUAUGCCCCUUAGUCUAGAAUAGCCACUGGAAACGGUGAUUAAUACUAGAUACUCCCUCCGGGGGAAAGUUUUUUCGCUAAGGGAUCAGUCUAUGUCCUAUCAGCUUGAUGGUGAGGUAAGAGCUCACCUUGGCUAUGACGGGUAGUUGGUCUGAGAGGAUGAUCAGCCACACUGGAACUGAGACACGGUCCAGACUCCUACGGGAGGCAGCAGUAAAGAAUAUUGCACAAUGGGGGAAACCCUGAUGCAGCAACACCGCGUGGAGGAUGACGGCUUUCGAGUUGUAAACUCCUUUUCUACAAGAAGAUAAUGACGGUACUGUAGGAAUAAGCACCGGCUAACUCCGUGCCAGCAGCCGCGGUAAUACGGAGGGUGCAAGCGUUACUCGGAAUCACUGGGCGUAAAGCGUGCGCAGGUGGAACAUUAAGUCAGAUGUGAAAUCCUAUAGCUUAACUAUAGAACUGCAUUUGAAACUGGUGAUCUUGAGUGUGGGAGAGGUAGGUGGAAUUCUUGGUGUAGGGGUAAAAUCCGUAGAGAUCAAGAAGAAUACCUAUUGCGAAGGCGACCUACUGGAACACUACUGACACUGAGGCACGAAAGCGUGGGUAGCAAACAGGAUUAGAUACCCUGGUAGUCCACGCCCUAAACGAUGGAUGCUAGUCGUUGGAAUGCUUAGUCAUUUCAGUGAUGCAGCUAACGCAUUAAGCAUCCCGCCUGGGGAGUACGAUCGCAAGAUUAAAACUCAAAGGAAUAGACGGGGACCCGCACAAGCGGUGGAGCAUGUGGUUUAAUUCGAAGAUACGCGAAGAACCUUACCCGGUCUUGACAUCCUUGAAAUCUUUAAGAAAUUAGAGAGUGCCUGCUUGCAGGAAUCAAGUGACAGGUGUUGCACGGCUGUCGUCAGCUCGUGUCGUGAGAUGUUGGGUUAAGUCCCGCAACGAGCGCAACCCUUAUCCUUAGUUACUAACAGUUCGGCUGAGAACUCUAGGGAGACUGCCAGAGCAAUCUGGAGGAAGGUGAGGACGACGUCAAGUCAUCAUGACCCUUAUGUCCGGGGCUACACACGUGCUACAAUGGGAAAGACAAAAAGACGCGAUACCGUGAGGUGGAGCAAAUCUCUAAACUUUCUCCCAGUUCGGAUUGUUCUCUGCAACUCGAGAACAUGAAGUUGGAAUCGCUAGUAAUCGUAGAUCAGCUAUGCUACGGUGAAUACGUUCCCGGGUCUUGUACUCACC
rnacentral:rRNA from 1 species